rnacentral:rRNA from 1 species
UACGGGGGGGGCAAGCGUUGUUCGGAAUUACUGGGCGUAAAGGGCUCGUAGGCGGCCAACUAAGUCAGACGUGAAAUCCCUCGGCUUAACCGGGGAACUGCGUCUGAUACUGGAUGGCUUGAGUUUGGGAGAGGGAUGCGGAAUUCCAGGUGUAGCGGUGAAAUGCGUAGAUAUCGGGAGGAACACCAGUGGCGAAGGCGACUUCCUGGCCUGUUAUUGACGCUGAGACGCGAAAGCGUGGGGAGCGAACAGG